UACGUAGGAGGCAAGCGUUGUCCGGAAUUACUGGGCGUAAAGCGCGUGUAGGUGGUGGGACAAGUCUGCUGUGAAAGCGCCUGGCUUAACCGGGCGAGGUCGGCGGAAACUGUCCGACUCGAGGACGGUAGAGGGGGUGGAAUUCCCGGUGUAGUGGUGAAAUGCGUAGAGAUCGGGAGGAACACCUGUGGCGAAGGGCGGCCCCCUGGGCCGGCCCCUGACACUGAGAGACGAAAGCUAGGGGAGCGAAUGGG
rnacentral:rRNA from 1 species